CAAGUGAAGAGUUUGAUCCUGGCUCAGAUUGAACGCUGGCGGCGUGCUUAACACAUGCAAGUCGAGCGGUAACAGGUGUAGCAAUACAUGCUGACGAGCGGCGAACGGGUGAGUAAUGCUUCGGAAUCUACCCAUUGGCGGGGAAUAACUAGCCGAAAGGUUAGCUAAUACCGCAUAAGCCCUACGGGGGAAAGCAGGGGAUCGCAAGACCUUGCACCGAUGGAUGAGCCGAAGUCGGAUUAGCUAGUUGGUAGGGUAACGGCCUACCAAGGCGACGAUCCGUAGCUGGUCUGAGAGGACGACCAGCCACACUGGGACUGAGACACGGCCCAGACUCCUACGGGAGGCAGCAGUGGGGA
rnacentral:rRNA from 1 species